GUGAAUCAUCAAAUUUUUGAACGCAUAUUGCACUCUCUGGGAAUCCGGUGAGUAUGCCUAUUUGAGGGUCAUUUGAGUUGAUAUAAAUUCUAAGAUUUCUCGGAGUUUAUAAUGGGUUGUGCAUUUUUUGUGGUCGCUUAAAUUCGAAGACAAGCUCAUUUUCUUGGUUUGCUUGAUACUUUCAGUUACUUUGUGAUUUAACCAUUAAUGAUCGGGCGUUUUUUGG
rnacentral:misc_RNA from 1 species